UAAAGGAAUUGGCGGGGGAGCACUACAAGGGGUGGAGCGUGCGGUUUAAUUGGACUCAACGCCGGGAACCUCACCGGGGGGCGACGGCAGGAUGAAGGCCAGGCUGAAGGUCUUGCCGGACACGCCGAGAGGAGGUGCAUGGCCGCCGUCAGCUCGUACCGUGAGGCGUCCACUUAAGUGUGGUAACGAGCGAGACCCGCGCCCCCAGUUGCCAGUCCUCCCCGCUGGGGAGGANGCACUCUGGGGGGACCGCCGGCGAUAAGCCGGAGGAAGAAGCGGGCGACGGUAGGUCAGUAUGCCCCGAAACCCCCGGGCUACACGCGCGCUACAAUGGGCGGGACAAUGGGAUCCGACCCCGAAAGGGGAAGGGAAUCCCCUAAACCCGCCCCCAGUUCGGAUCGCGGGCUGCAACUCGCCCGCGUGAAGCUGGAAUCCCUAGUACCCGCGUGUCAUCAUCGCGCGGCGAAUACGUCCCUGCUCCUUGCACACACCGCCA
rnacentral:rRNA from 1 species